rnacentral:misc_RNA from 1 species
ACCCUCCUUUGUGUGUUGGGCAUUGUGAACUGCUCCCUUACCUGGGAAAAGAAAAAUAUUGGCGACGAAAACUAUUAUAGAACAUACCUACCCAGAUGGAUUCAGAUGAUGAACAGAUUGGCCGCUAGGGGGCUCUUGUCUGUUUCUUCCGUACAACAAUAUGAACAGUUUUUGUCAACGAUUAGACCCUUGAUCGACAAAUCAGACGUUUGAGUGGCGUACAGACCCAACACUAGUGUCCCAAUUUUACAUGUAUAUCCUAUAGUUUCGUCGCCUGGCUCCAUUGUAAGCAGUUUAACUAAAGACAUAUAUUGCAACAAAUAGUGUUAGAACCAUUUUAACAAGAGUUUGGACAUUGGGUAAUUGUGUUAAACAGCAACGUGACGUAGGCCUGUCUAUUUCAUUGUCAGUCGCUCAGCCAUGGCUCUCUGAAAUCAACAAGAUUUGUCUGACUUUUGAGCUAAGACAACGCAAUCGGUGCAUAUGACGCUUGAAACUGCGUCAUUUUUAACUUGUUUUGACGCAAGAAUUAGAUAGCUACGUCCUACUGAAAGUCCAAGGUCUUGUUAGAAUGGUUUUAUUUGAUCCUAUGUUAUGGUGUUUAUAUGUAUGUGUUUAUCAAAAUUCUUGAAAUGUUUGAAAAAUGUGUCACUAACUAUAUAAUAAACUUCACUGUAAAGAGACAAACUUUUUUCUUUUGUUAAUUAUAGAUGUACUACUUUAUUGAUGGUUUAAUGAUAAAAUGAAAAUUUAAAGUUGUAUCAUACAGAACUAACUGAAGAAUUCAAAUUGCAUUAUAUGAAUUUAAUGCUUUAAACGCUUAUGCUUUAAGUUUUGAAUAUGAAUUUUCUUUUCAGAUUGGUCUGUGUGAUGCAAUUCCAUAAUACCGGUAUCUUUGAAUACUUGAAUUGGUAUCACACAGAUCAAAUGAAAAAUUCAUUUUAUAUAAUAAAGAUGUGAAUUGUCUUAUUUAGUGUUCUGAUUGUAAUUUUUAUAUGUAUAAUAAAAAUUAAGAUAUUU